UGCCGGUGUACUUGAAUUCAUCGGUUGUAUCAGGAAAAUCCAAUGUAAAACUGGUAUGUAAAAUAGUAUGAUUCGUAAGAUUACAUAAUAAAAAAUUCUUUUCAGAAGAUUGAUUACUUAGUUGUGCUAACUCCAAUUUGCUCAAACAGGACGUGCGUGCUAUUUCUCAAAAAAGAAGCUUCUCUAUUGGCCAACAUCCCCGGUGGUAGUUUUAGAUAUCCAGCAAAUGAAGGGCGCCUCAUAAUCCGAGCAGUUGGGUCAAGUACAUAUAGUUGGUUGUAAAUGACUUUCAGUUUCUAGCUUAUAACGAAAUCUAGACAUGUACUCUUUAACAGUAUUCUGUUCAUGAUGGUGGACAUAUGUAUUGGUUCAAAUUAUCAAGUUGAU
rnacentral:lncRNA from 1 species